CCUGCUUCUGGGACCCAGCGCUAGUGUAGGGGUUCCUGCGAAAAGCAGAGAGGAGAAUUGCGCGUCUGGACUUGUCUGGGCUGUCCUCAGCCCUCUCCCCAGAGACAUGAAACGGUUUAUUCUCCCGCAGAAGAAAGGGACUGUGGCCCCCGGCUCCUUCAGGACUAGAGGAGAGGCCUCGGGGCGCUGGCUAGAGACGAGGGAUGGGAACCGUGCGCCAUGACAGAGGACAGACUAUGGAAAUGAUGUUAGACAAAAAGCAAAUCGAGUGAUAUUCGAAUUCAAAAUGGGUUAUAAUGCAGCGGAGAUAAUUCACAACAUCAACAAUGCAUUUGGCCAGGAACUGCUAACAAAUAUGCAGUGCAGUGAUGGUUCAAGAAAUUUUGCAAAGGAGAUGAGAGCCUUGAAGAUGAGGAGCACAGUUGCUGGCCAUUGGAAGUUGACUGCAACCAACUGAGAGCAAUCAUCUAGCAAUCCUCUUACAACUAGCUAAGAAGUUGCCGAAUAACUCAACGUCAACCAUUCUUUGGUCAUUCUGCAUUUGAAGCAAAUUGGAAAAGUGAAAAAGCUCAAUAAGUGGGUGCCUCAUGAGCUGAGCGGAAGUAAAAACAAAUUGUCAUUUCGAAGUGUCCUCUUAUUCCGUGCAGCAACAACGAACCAUUUUUCGAUUGGAUUGUGAUGUGCAACGAAAAGUGGAUUUUGUAUGGCAACUGGCGAUGACCAGCUCAGUGGCUGAGUUGAGAGCAACCACUUUAGGAAGCUCCAAAGCACUUCCUAAAGCCAAA